UACGUAGGUGGCAAGCGUUGUCCGGAUUUACUGGGCGUAAAGGGCGUGCAGGCGGUUUGUUAAGUGCAGGGUGAAAGCUCCCGGCUCAACUGGGAGAGGUCCUUGCAUACUGGCGAACUCGAGGGAGGCAGAGGAAAGUGGAAUUCCCGGUGUAGUGGUGAUAUGCGUAGAUAUCGGGAGGAACACCUGUGGCGAAGGCGGCUUUCUAGGCCUUACCUGACGCUGAGACGCGAAAGCGUGGGGAGCGAACCGG
rnacentral:rRNA from 1 species